rnacentral:lncRNA from 1 species
AUUAUCUUUCUUCCUCCGUUCAUACGUAUUUCAUACAUUCCAGAUAUGGAGUUGGGUAAAAUUUCAUGUGAUUCGGUAAACAAAAUAGAAAUGCCAUCAUUGCUAGAUCAUUUAUCUAAUCUAUCUAAUUAGAUGAAGAACGAACCAAUAGUGGUAUUUUUUAAUAAAUGGGAAAUUAAAAAUGCUCGGGGAUGGAAAUGAGGGAAUAUCUACAAUACCUGGAUUUAAUCAGAUACAAUUUGAAGGAUUUUGUAGGUUCAUAUUAUUUGAUAAAUGGGAAAUUAAUAAUGCUCGGGUAUGGAAAUGAGGGAAUAUCUACAAUACCUGGAUUUAAUAAGAUACAAUUUGAAGGAUUUU